GGCAUGACAUCACAAUGCUUUGUGACAUCACUGCAUGACAACCGCAGGGCAUGGUGUUGCCGCUGCAGUGACAUCUCAGGACAAUCGGAUGUCGUCGUCACAACAGGAGACGACAGCGUUGUGUGGUGACAUAGCCGUGUGCUGAUUCCUGACCCCAUCAGUCAGCCACUAGAAAAUAACACUGAACAGUAUGCAAAGUCCCCGUGACAUAAGUUUGCAGGAUUGAUUUUCCAUGUAACAGAUAAAUGAAAGAAAGCUGCUAUCAGCCCCUGAAAAUGAAGCCAUGAAGUUUUCCUGGAGGUAAAACACUGACUAAGGUCAGCAGUUCAUUAAAUCUCAUUGAAAGCUGUAACAUCUGGGUAAAGAAUGCACCUGGGAAUUAGCCACAGUUUCAUCAUUUACCCCCAACAUGCUUUAAGAAAUGUCUCAGCCUUGAAUAUUCAGAAUGACACACUCUGAAAUACAAUUAUCUCUAGGGCUGCUUGAUUUUUAAACUCACCAUUAUAUAAAACAAUAUUAGGCCAUCAUCAUGCAGACACAUAAAUCUUAUGCACUGCCUAAAGUCAAUGGAACUACUCACAUAUAUAAAUUAAAUAUGUGUGCAACCUUCUGCAGGAUCAAUGCCUGAGUGAUUGUAACCAAACCUGACAUUCCUCAGCCUGGUUGGCUCUCCAUACGCCUGCACUGGCCUGUGCCACUUUUCUUGCAGCAGUGUUCAGUGAUCACAAAUCCUUUGGUCCUCAACAAAGUGUCCAUGACAUUACCUCACUCGGGAGUCAACCUGUGUUGUGGUCAGAAGUCUGUUUCCUAU